AUGAAUGCCAGCCGUUAGUGGGUUUACUCACUAGUGGCGCAGCUAACGCUUUAAGCAUUCCGCCUGGGGAGUACGGUCGCAAGAUUAAAACUCAAAGGAAUUGACGGGGGCCCGCACAAGCGGUGGAGCAUGUGGUUUAAUUCGACGCAACGCGCAGAACCUUACCAGCCCUUGACAUGUCCAGGACCGGUCGCAGAGAUGUGACCUUCUCUUCGGAGCCUGGAGCACAGGUGCUGCAUGGCUGUCGUCGGCUCGUGUCGUGAGAUGUUGGGUUAAGUCCCGCAACGAGCGCAACCCCCGUCCUUAGUUGCUACCAUUUAGUUGAGCACUCUAAGGAGACUGCCGGUGAUAAGCCGCGAGGAAGGUGGGGAUGACGUCAAGUCCUCAUGGCCCUUACGGGCUGGGCUACACACGUGCUACAAUGGCGGUGACAAUGGGAUGCUAAGGGGCGACCCCUCGCAAAUCUCAAAAAGCCGUCUCAGUUCGGAUUGGGCUCUGCAACUCGAGCCCAUGAAGUUGGAAUCGCUAGUAAUCGUGGAUCAGCAUGCCACGGUGAAUACGUUCCCGGGCCUUGUACACACCGCCCGUCACACCAUGGGAGUUGGCUUUACCUGAAGACGGUGCGCUAACCAGCAAUGGAGGCAGCCGGCCACGGUAGGGUCAGCGACUGGGGUGAAGUCGUAACAAGGUAACC
rnacentral:rRNA from 1 species